UAUGGAGGGUGCAAGCGUUAUCCGGAUUCACUGGGUUUAAAGGGUGCGUAGGCGGACAGGUAAGUCAGUGGUGAAAUCUCUGGGCUUAACCCAGAAACUGCCGUUGAUACUAUUUGUCUUGAAUAUCCUGGAGGUAGGCGGAAUAUGUCAUGUAGCGGUGAAAUGCUUAGAUAUGACAUAGAAUACCCAUUGCGAAGGCAGCUAACUACGCGAUAAUUGACGCUGAUGCACGAAAGCGUGGGGAGCGAACAGG
rnacentral:rRNA from 1 species